CGUCUGCAAUGCGCGCAGCUGACGCAGCGACGCCGCGUGAGGGAUGACGGCCUUCGGGUUGUAAACCUCUUUCAGCAGGGACGAAUUUGACGGGACCUGUAGAGGAAACACCGGCCCACUACGUGCCAGCCCCCGCGGUAAUGAAAUA
rnacentral:rRNA from 1 species